CACCUCCCGACAUCAUCUCCUGAUCCUAGGUGAACGCCCCUAGGGUACCUGCCACAGAGCACACGGGCCUGUCAGCUCCAAGGGUACAGGGGACAAAGCGGCAGCCCCAGCCGCCGGCUACCUCCUCAGUCCUGGACAGCAUCCGCAGACUGUCGGCCAGGUACACGAGCUUCCCCUCGCAGUCGGCCAGCUUGCUGAGCGCGUCAGGGGGCUCGGAGAGCACCACUUCUCUCUGUAGGCCGGCAGAAGGUCUCAUCUCUCCCCUGGCCUCUCCCAGGGGCCCUGCGUGCGGGUGGCUCCGCCCACUGCGGCUGGUACCUGGGCCGUGGGCAGGGCAAUGCCAAUCAGCCGGACAUAGAGGUUGUCAAUGCCCGUCUGGAUGGUCAGCAGCAGCUUCUGGCUCUUGGUCAUGUUGGAGUAGGCCAGCCGGAGCCUUUCUUCCUCCUCUCUCAGCAUGUCCUUCAUCUUCUUCUCAACAGACUUGAAGCUGUUGAGGACGAUGGGGAGGGAGGUGGCACAGAGUCAAGGGCGAGGCGGCCACAGUCCUGAGCUUCUUCAUCAGGGCCUCGAGCUGCGCCCGCCGCUGCUCACAGUCCUCCAUCUGCAGCCCCAGGUUCUCCUCCGUGUUCCUCUGUGCCAGGAGGCGGCCAGCGAUGUCCUGGCCAGGCCAGUGGGGAGAGAAGCGGGUGUGGGCCCGGUAGGCAUGGGCCGCACAGAACAGGCUUCUUCUGGGGUCCCCCCAGCGGUCAGCAACGAUGCUGACUUGCGGCCAGGUCCUGGGUGAAGCCCUUCAUGCACGGCCCCACGUGUUGCUCACACCGCAAGCAGAGCGGGCAGCCACGACAAGAUCAUCACCCCUGAGAAACUGCCAGGGGCUUUGAGCCACUCGUCUAAGGAUGGGAGCUAAGCUUACUAAUAAUAAAGCCAGAUCGGAUUAAACUGAA